rnacentral:lncRNA from 1 species
GCAGCUCUUCCUUGCACAAUAGUUUUGAUUCCCAGGCUUCCGAAGAAGUCCAACAGAUUGUAAAACUGGACAUCUCUGAUGAAUGUGAAGUGCCUUCAUCCCUAAAUGUUGCAGAAGAUGCUAAUCUGGAGCCUGUGGAUUUUGAGAACAAUGGAGUUCUGUGGCUUCCACCUGAACCAGAAGAUGAAGAAGAUGAAAGGGAAGCACUUCCAUAUGACGAUGAUGAGGACGGGGAUGCUGACCUGUGGAUUUUGAGAAUAAUGGAGUUCUGUGGCUUCCACCUGAACCAGAAGAUGAAGAAGAUGAAAGGGAAGCACUUCUAUAUGACGAUGAUGAGGAUGGGGAUGCUGCAGGAGAGUGGGG